UGUUAUCCUGGUAAAUGGAAAGUGUUCUAUGACAAUAAAGACAGACCUGGCAGGUAUCUACUCGCCAAAGAACUCAUUGGUCGACCCGAUGCUGAGGAUCUCGAGAUUAUAUAUGGGAACGUGGAAGAGAAACCAGAUGAAGAGCCAUCUUUAUUGAGUCAAGCUGCUGGAAUUUUUCUCAUCCAUUAACAGGUUCAUGAAAGCCAUGUGAAGAUGAGAUUUUCUUCUCUCUCUCA